CAUGAUUAACGAAAGUUAGGAUUGUAUAGAAAGUAGUCGCAGUCGCUUCAACUCCAACUUGUAGAUAUAAUCUUUGAUUUUAUUUACGAGUGAGGUGAGAAACAACUAUUAAAGUUGGGAAUUUUAAUUUUGUUAAGAAAUUAAAGACCUGU
rnacentral:sRNA from 12 species